rnacentral:rRNA from 1 species
GGUUGAGGAUGAGCAUGCGGAUGAUUAGUUAGUUGGCGGGGUAACGGCCCACCAAGACGAUGAUCAUUAGGGGAACUGAGAGGUUGAUCCCCCACACUGGCACUGAGAUACGGGCCAGACUCCUACGGGAGGCAGCAGUAGGGAAUAUUGGACAAUGGGUGCGAGCCUGAUCCAGCCAUGCCGCGUGCAGGAAGAAAGCCUUCUGGGUUGUAAACUGCUUUUCUCUGGGGAUAAAAGGCCCAUGCGUGGGACAUUGAAGGUACCAGAGGAAUAAGCCACGGCUAACUACGUGCCAGCAGCCGCGGUAAUACGUAGGUGGCAAGCGUUGUCCGGAUUUAUUGGGUUUAAAGGGUGCGUAGGCGGCUUUGUAAGUCAGUUGUGAAAUACGGCAGCUCAACUGUCGAGGUGCAAUUGAUACUGCAAAGCUUGAGUACUGAUGAGGUAGGCGGAAUGGACGGUGUAGCGGUGAAAUGCUUAGAGAUCGUCCAGAACACCGAUAGCGAAGGCAGCUUACUAAAGAGUAACUGACGCUGACGCACGAAAGUGUGGGGAUCAAACAGGAUUAGAUACCCUGGUAGUCCACACUGUAAACGAUGAUCACUCGAUGUGUGCGAUAUACGGCACGCG